rnacentral:rRNA from 1 species
AUUGAACGCUGGCGGCAGGCCUAACACAUGCAAGUCGGGCGGAUGACGGGAGCUUGCUCCUUGAUUCAGCGGCGGACGGGUGAGUAAUGCCUAGGAAUCUGCCUGGUAGUGGGGGACAACGUUUCGAAAGGAACGCUAAUACCGCAUACGUCCUACGGGAGAAAGCAGGGGACCUUCGGGCCUUGCGCUAUCAGAUGAGCCUAGGUCGGAUUAGCUAGUUGGUGGGGUGAUGGCUCACCAAGGCGACGAUCCGUAACUGGUCUGAGAGGAUGAUCAGUCACACUGGAACUGAGACACGGUCCAGACUCCUACGGGAGGCAGCAGUGGGGAAUAUUGGACAAUGGGCGAAAGCCUGAUCCAGCCAUGCCGCGUGUGUGAAGAAGGUCUUCGGAUUGUAAAGCACUUUAAGUUGGGAGGAAGGGCAGUAAGUUAAUACCUUGCUGUUUUGACGUUGCCGACAGAAUAAGCACCGGCUAACUCUGUGCCAGCCGCCGCAGUAA